GUUGGGCUCGCUGAGAGGUUAGGUAUUGCUUAUCACAACCCGCUGAAUAGACUACUUGAUGUGAUUCCUUUCAACGCUGUAAUAUCCCCGUUCACCUUGCACCGCAUCGGAUCUAUCCUGAGAUGGGAGCCUUGUUGAAAAUGUUGAUUGCCACAGUGCUUAUUUUGUCACUCUCGGUGGAAUUUGGAUUCGGAUACAUUAACAUUGGCUGGCAAUAUAAAAUGUUUUAUAAAGGAUUCCUUGAAAGGGAAUAUCAACGAAAAACGGAUGUUAGAAAGCCGGAUGUGAAACUACCGCCAACAACUACAAAAAAGAAGCCGGCCAAUAAACUAACAACUACUCAAAGGCGCGAUACAUACUCAAGGGUUGAGGCUAACAAGUGCACCAAUUUUGGCAGUCAGUCUUUUUGUUUAGCUAAUACUCUAGACACCGAAGCCACUAUCUUCAGUUGGUUAAAAAGUGAAUUCAGCCCCGGAAAAUGAAGGAUCUCAGCACCAUUUCAUGUUGGUUGGAUUUGGGGCUAGAGCUGUAUUACGGUGAGUUCAGAAGUCAACAGGACGUUUCACGGGGGAAAACAUAGUUUGGGGAGGGGGGAGUGAAUUGAUAGUUGUUUAAAUGCAAUUUUAUUUUCAAACUAAAUUUUAAAUAUUUUAAAUCCACAUAAACUUGAUAUAUCCUCACCAGUAAUAAAUAUUACCA